UUUUGCUCUCAAUAGAAUGUUGAUGUGAAAGGAGAACACCCAAAUUAUUUAUGUUGUUAUAUUGGGUACGUUUUACAAAAAAUGAGGCCAUAUAUUUGAUUUUCAUUGAGUGAAUGAUAAUAUUUUUGCGAUUUUGCUCUCUGGGUUAACAUAAUACAUAGCUCCUUGUGUUGGAUCAAGAAGUAAUGUUUAAGAAGAAACGUGAUUCUGCCGAUGGAAAGGCCAUAUGAAAGGGAGGGGCGAUCUGCAAGUGGUUGUGAGAGAUUGUAGUGCGUGUAUAAAUCAAAGUUUUGGUAUUGAGAUUUAUAUUGUGGGAGAUAUCAUUGGAGGCGAGAUCUGUUGUGAAGGGGUUUUAGUUUUGUACAUGGAUUGAUUCUGAGAAGGUGUAGAGGAGGCCCCUGAGUGACUCGGCUCGAUGUGUAUAAAGGCAUGUGUGACUGGUUAAUUUAGUAGAGAGAGCGAGCAACUCGGCUGCCCCAGUAUCAAGGCCUGCUAUGCUGUCUGCUCUAUGUUUCACAUCUACCAUCUUCUCACAAGUCAUAGCAAUUAGGAAAUGUUUGCAAUAUGUAUAUGGCAUUUGGCCCAACCAAUAGCCUUGCCUUUACACAAUUUUGUUAUACUGUUCAGGAGAAAAUGCUGUGAAUUCAUUCUAUAAAUAAAGAUCAAUCCAGCUCACA